rnacentral:rRNA from 1 species
UGGUCAAUAGCCUAACGGCUGAACCAGCAACUUAAAAGAACGAAAAACCGAAGUCAUGAGCGGUUACCAUAUAAGUAUAUGGGGCAUAAUAUGCGGAUAGUUCGAAGUAAGUCUUGAUAAUGACAUAAUUUGCUUUUAAGUCUUGACCAACUCAUGUGCCAGCAGUCGCGGCAAGACAUGGAAGGCUGCGUUAUUCAUCCUUAUUAGGUUUAAAGGGUACCUAGACGGUAGUUAUCAGCUUUUUUCUUUAAAGGAUUUUGUACUAUAAAUACUAGAGUUUUAUGUAAGGAGAUUCCGAACGGUGAGUGGAGGGAUAGAAUCUUUUGAUACCACUUAGAUACUGGUUUAGGUGAAGACAGGAUCCUAUGUAAAAACUGACGUUGAGGGACGAAGGCUAGAGAUAAGGAACGGGAUUAGUUACCCCAGUACUACUGGCAGACAAUGAUGAAUGCCAUAUGUAAGAGAAAUUUUAUAUAUAAAUGAAAGUGUAAGCAUUCCACCUCAAGAGUAAUAUGGCAACAUAUAAACUGAAAUCAUUAGGCCGUUUCUGGAACUCGUAGUGAAGUAUGUUAUUUAAUUUGAUGAUCCCCAAAGGACCUUACCACAGUGUGAUAUAGUUAUAUACAUAAGUAUAUAUCGGACAAGCGUUGCACGGCUGUCUACAGUUGAUGUCGUGAGAAUCGAUUAGUUUCGUUAAUCAACGGAAUCCCUGACUUUAUUUAAAAUAAAGUAGUAAUUUCGGCAAAAGAAUCCAAAACCGAAUUUAAUAUAUGGGAACAUGACAAGUCAUCAUGGCCAAACAUAAAAAUUGAGAGUAUUGUGGGCGAUAGACGUGCCACAGUUAUCCUAGACAAAAAGAUGCAUAAUCGUGAGAUUCAGCUAAUCUUUAAAAUAGGUAAAAAUAUGGAUUG